GACGAACGCUGGCGGCGUGCUUAACACAUGCAAGUCGAACGGAAAGGCCUCUUUCGGGGGGUACUCGAGUGGCGAACGGGUGAGUAACACGUGAGUAACCUGCCCUUGACUUUGGGAUAACUUCAGGAAACUGGGGCUAAUACCGGAUAGGAGCUCCUGCUGCAUGGUGGGGGUUGGAAAGUUUCGGCGGUUGGGGAUGGACUCGCGGCUUAUCAGCUUGUUGGUGGGGUAGUGGCUUACCAAGGCUUUGACGGGUAGCCGGCCUGAGAGGGUGACCGGCCACAUUGGGACUGAGAUACGGCCCAGACUCCUACGGGAGGCAGCAGUGGGGAAUAAUGCACAAUGGGUGGAAGCCUGAUGCAGCAACGCCGUGUGCGGGAUGACGGCCUUCGGGUUGUAAACCGCUUUCGCUCAUGACGAAGCUUUGUGUGACGGUAGUGGGUAAAGAAGCACCGGCUAACUACGUG
rnacentral:rRNA from 1 species